rnacentral:rRNA from 1 species
UACGUAGGGGGCAAGCGUUGUCCGGAAUUAUUGGGCGUAAAGGGCGCGUAGGCGGCCACCGCAAGUCGACUGUGAAAUCUCCGGGCUUAACCCGGAAAGGUCAGCCGAUACUGCGGGGCUAGAGUGCAGAAGGGGCAACUGGAAUUCUCGGUGUAGCGGUGAAAUGCGUAGAUAUCGAGAGGAACACCUGCGGCGAAGGCGGGUUGCUGGGCUGACACUGACGCUGAGGCGCGAAAGCUAGGGGAGCGAACGGG